GUCAUGUCUUGGGGACAAUUCCUACCAUUAAAUGUCAGGCUUCCCAGACNGUAGAGGGAGGCAGAGUUGUGGCUGGUGAUGCCCAGAGGGAAAAUGAGAGACACAAUAGUGCCAGGAGGAACAGCCAAAAACACCUAGAUGGUUGCCAGUGCUUCCUUCCCUCUUCGUUCUUUCUGGAGAAGAGCCAUGGCUUCGUGGCAAAGCCUCUGCUUUGUGUUCAGAAGAUCCCAGCUUCAAUUCCUGGCACAGGUUUUCACAGAUCCCCUGUCUGAACUUCUGGAGAGCUUUGGUGUCUUGGUGAACCAGGUAUUAAGGAAAGUAUGCAGUGAACUUUCCAGCGAAGUCCAUUUGUUCCUUUU
rnacentral:lncRNA from 1 species